AAGACCUUGCGCUUUUGGAGCGGCCGAUGUCUGAUUAGCUUGUUGGUAAGGUAAAAGCUUACCAAGGCUUCGAUCAGUAGCUGGUCUGAGAGGACGACCAGCCACACUGGGACUGAGACACGGCCCAGACUCUUACGGGAGGCAGCAGUGGGGAAUUUUGGACAAUGGGGGCAACCCUGAUCCAGCCAUGCCGCGUGAGUGAAGAAGGCCUUCGGGUUGUAAAGCUCUUUCAGCCGGAACGAAACGGUUACGGUUAAUACCCGUGACUACUGACGGUACCGGAAGAAGAAGCACCGGCUAACUACGUGCCAGCAGCCGCGGUAAUACGUAGGGUGCAAGCGUUAAUCGGAAUUACUGGGCGUAAAGCGUGCGCAGGUGGUUUUGUAAGUCAGAUGUGAAAUCCCCGGGCUUAACCUGGGAACU
rnacentral:rRNA from 1 species